rnacentral:tRNA from 1 species
AGAGAUAUAGCUCAGUGAUAGAGCACAUGCUUAGGAUGCAUAAGACCCUGGGUUCAACACCAGCACCACUU